AUUUUCUUUAUGCGUUUUGGCAAUGUUUUCCAAAUGCAUUUUAGCUCAUAACUUUUUGUUUUGCAGUAGCUAAUGUAAAAGUUUUGUAUUUGUUUUUAUUAUGUUUGCAAUUUUUGUACUGUAUUUUAAUAUACAUAUGUUUGAAAAAAAGCUCGAUUAUGUCUUGGUGUCCAAGAGUCGGUCAGAGAUGUGAUAUUUUGUCGGAAAACACUAGUAUCAAACCUUCUUAAUACAAGGAAGUCUUCGAUAGAAAGAGGGAAAGUUUUGGAGUCCAUUGCUGACAAGUUGUGCGACAUGAGACAGCUGACUUCCGUAUCAACGAAAUGUCUGUGAGGGACCAUUGCAAGAAGCUUAAAGUACGGUACAACAGGAAGGCUCGAAAGGAGUUUGAUGUCAGUGGUAGAAUCUCAGCCCAGGUCAUAGUGAUUUUGAUGUGAUGUUAGAGGAAAUAGUGGAAAGAGAAGAGGUUACAGAUUCUGAAAGGGAGAAUGUUGACAGUGAAAGACAAAUAAUAAAGGCAGAUAAAUUGGCGUGAGCUGAUAUCAGGAGAAAGGCUAUGGAGACUGCUUCAGAGACUCAGGAAAGGAAUGCUGGAGAAGGCGAGGAAAGUGGAAACAAGAAAAGACGGAGAAGUGGAGACGAAGCAAGUUGCAUAUUUACGGGAGGAGGGGGAUGGAAAUGGAGCCACUAAAAGAGAAAGUGGAAUGAAAUAAAUCAGAGAUUGAUUUGGGAUAAAACAGACAACGGCAACGACAACAACAAGUGGACAAACUAAGCAAUAUAUUUGAACAACAAGCAACAUGAUGAAAAUGAUGAUGGACUAACAACAACAACAGCAACAACAACAAAUGGACGCCAUGUAAAUGAUGAUGCUAUACGGCAACAACAGAGUCAGGAAAUGAUGGUCCUUCUUGAAAAACUUUCAAAAUAGACUUAUGUGCUACAUUAUGCCAUCACAUAUUGUGAAAUUAGUAACUGAAAGUCCCCGAAAGCUGAAGGAGGACUGUCCAAGUAUUUCAUAAAUCCUCCCGAUGCUUGAGAAGAUAUUUAACACCAGUUUCCCAAAUGCCAUAUAUGGUAUUCUUAUUCGGCUCAAUCCUCAUCGGUAUUUCUUGAAUAAUUUUUGAACCUAUUGAAAUACACAAAAACAAUGUUUAAAUAUUAAAUUACAUUUAAAUUUACUUCAAUAUUUAAAUUUACUUCAAUACAUUAUUAAUAAUAAUUUCAAUUGUUGAAAAUACCUUAUUUAUUCCAGAGAGCGUAAAACAG